rnacentral:rRNA from 1 species
UACGUAGGGGGCUAGCGUUGUCCGGAAUCAUUGGGCGUAAAGCGCGCGCAGGCGGACUGGUCAGUCCGGGGUGAAAUCUCACGGCUCAACCGUGAGUGGUCCCUGGAUACUGCCAGCCUUGAGGUGUCUAGAGGAGAGCGGAAUUCCCGGUGUAGUGGUGGAAUGCGUAGAUAUCGGGAAGAACACCAGUGGCGAAAGCGGCUCUCUGGGGACCACCUGACGCUGAGGCGCGAAAGCGUGGGGAGCGAACCGG